rnacentral:lncRNA from 1 species
UCCGAGCCUCCUCACAUCGUUGCCGCUCCACCCGAGUCGGCCGCCGUCCCGCCAGCAGCUGGAGUUCCUCCUCUCCCACAAGCUCGCGCCCCUGCUUCACCUACGAGCUCGCGCCGCCGUCCCCAACGCUGUCGCCGUCGCUGCACCAGAUCUCCGCCGAGUCGUUGUCACCCACCACCAUUGGCUACAAUGUAGUCCCGACGCUGACCAACCGAGAGAGGAAGGAGAUCGGAGGAGGUCUAGAGACCCAGAUCUGAGGAUGAGGGUCGGGCAAGGGCCAGAUCUGGAAUCGAUCGAGCUCCGUCGCCCCCCCUCUGUCC